rnacentral:rRNA from 1 species
GACGAGCCACACGAACGUUAUUCGGAAUUACUGGGCUUAAAGGGUGCGUAGGCGGCGCGGAAAGUUGGGUGUGAAAUCCCUCGGCUCAACCGAGGAACUGCGCCCAAAACUGCCGUGCUCGAGGAAGAUAGAGGUAAGCGGAACUUACGGUGGAGCGGUGAAAUGCGUUGAUAUCGUAAGGAACACCUGUGGCGAAAGCGGCUUACUGGGUCUUUUCUGACGCUGAUGCACGAAAGCUAGGGGAGCAAACGGG